UACAUAGGGAGCGAGCGUUAUCCGGAUUUAUUGGGUGUAAAGGGUGCGUAGACGGGAAUUUAAGUUGGUUGUGAAAUCCCUCGGCUCAACUGAGGAACUGUAACCAAAACUGGAUUUCUUGAGUGCUGGAGAGGAAAGUGGAAUUCCUAGUGUAGCGGUGAAAUGCGUAGAUAUUAGGAGGAACAUCAGUGGCGAAGGCGACUUUCUGGACGAUAACUGACGUUGAGGCACGAAAGUGUGGGGAGCAAACA
rnacentral:rRNA from 1 species